GAUGAAGAACGCAGCGAAAUGCGAUACUUGGUGUGAAUUGCAGAAUCCCGCGAAUCAUCGAGUUUUUGAACGCAAGUUGCGCCCGAAGCCAUUCGGCCGAGGGCACGUCUGCCUGGGUGUCACGCAUCGUUGCCCCCCCAAACUCCGGUUCGGGCGGGGCGGAAGUUGGCCUCCGUGCGUGCCUGCGCGCGCGGUUAGCCCAAAAGCGAGUCCUCGGCGACGAGCGCCACGACAAUCGGUGGUUUUUUUACCCUCGUUCCUCGUCGUGCGUGCCCCGUCGCCCGAACGCGCUCUUGCGACCCUUACGCGUCGCCUCGGCGGCGCUCCCAACGCGACCCCAGGUCAGGCGGGACUACCCGCUGAGUUUAAGCAUAUCAAUAAGCGGAGGA
rnacentral:misc_RNA from 1 species